rnacentral:rRNA from 1 species
GCGUCGGAGAGUUUGAUCCUGGCUCAGGACGAACGCUGGCGGCACGCCUAAUACAUGCAAGUCGAGCGCGUGAAGCUUUCCGAAGCCUUCGGGUGGACGAAAGUGGAUCGAGCGGCGGACGGGUGAGUAACACGUAGGCAACCUGCCUGUAAGACCGGGAUAACUCCGGGAAACCGGGGCUAAUACCGGAUGGGAUCUCUUUUCGCAUGGGAAGGGAUUGAAAGGAUGGCCGCAAGGCUAUCGCUUACAGAUGGGCCUGCGGCGCAUUAGCUGGUUGGUGAGGUAACGGCUCACCAAG